CCUGCAGCCCUGCCUGGGGUGUG
rnacentral:miRNA from 1 species